AGAAAUAUGCAUAAAUAUGUGUGUGUAUGAUUGGGUCACUACUGUACAGCAGAAAUUGACACAAUACUGUAAAUCAACUAUAAUUUAAAAAAAAAACAAUUCCCAUAUAAAGGCUCUCUCUGCUUUUUUUAGCUUAUUGCUUCUCAUCUUGGAAAUUGUUUCUCAGAAGACCCAAGCUAAUCCACCUAAUCAUAAUAUACAAGACCCAGAAAACAUCUUAAAUUCUGAUAAAUGAGUGUAACAACGUCUGUUUCCAGAUUGAGUACCUAGAAGGAAAGAAAGCAGAAGUCCCUCAAAAUGUUCUCAGUGGUUUCAAAGAAAAUAUAACCAGAUGACAUGAGGCUUGAAUAGAGGAUAUAGUGGAUAAUACAAACAGAUUUGAAAAUGCUGGGAUUAUAUGCCUCAACUAAGAAGAUAAAAUUAAGGAAGACAACCAGACUUUUUAUGAAGUUACAUUCAGAGUCCAGUGAUAAAGGCAUAAGGUUGAAGUUAAUUAGGAUGGGCAAAUGACAGUAGCAGUUCUGUGCCUGAACAUGAACUUCACUGAUUUGCAGAGACAGAGAGAGAGAAUUGGUUUCCAGUAGUUCCCCCAAAGAGUGAGUAACAUUCUUUGCCACAAAUCUCAAGAUUUGGUAUUUUAACUUUUCUUUUUUAUUUCUUAUUUAAAAAAUUUUAUUGACAUAUAGUUGAUUUUACAAUGUGGUGUUUUCUGUUAUAUGGAGUAGUUAUUUGGUUAUAGAUAUAUAUUUUUUCCUUAUAUAUUAAAUUCCCAGAAGAAGGAUGACUAUUGAAGAAUAUUUGCACAUUUAACUUUUAUAGAUGAGUAGACAUAAAGAUAAAUAGAUCAAUUUAUUUAUAGGUAUAUAGAAAGAGGAUAAAUGUUUGAUUCAAAAGUUUAUUAAUUUCCAGUUCUUUUGGUAUCAGUUUCUACAUUCACUUCAAGGAGAAAAAGAAAAAUUGUCUAUGUGUGUGUUCCAUAUCUUGUUUGCUGACUAAGAGAUUACCAAUUAUCUCUUGGUUAACUUUGCUAACCAAGAGUUAAAUAACUCAAUGAAAUUUUAAAUUGCAUCUAUAUUAAUAGUAAAGAUUGACAUUA
rnacentral:lncRNA from 1 species